AACGAACGCUGGCGGCAUGCCUAACACAUGCAAGUCGAACGAGACCUUCGGGUCUAGUGGCGCACGGGUGCGUAACGCGUGGGAACCUGCCCUUAGGUUCGGAAUAACUCCCCGAAAGGGGUGCUAAUACCGGAUAAUGUCUUCGGACCAAAGAUUUAUCGCCUUUGGAUGGGCCCGCGUUGGAUUAGCUAGUUGGUAGGGUAAAAGCCGACCAAGGCGACGAUCCAUAGCUGGUCUGAGAGGAUGAUCAGCCACACUGGGACUGAGACACGGCCCAGACUCCUGCGGGAGGCAGCAGUGGGGAAUAUUGGACAAUGGGCGAAAGCCUGAUCCAGCAAUGCCGCGUGAGUGAUGAAGGCCUUAGGGUUGUAAAGCUCUUUUACCCGGGAUGAUAAUGGCGGUACCGGGAGAAUAAGCUCCGGCUAACUCCGUG
rnacentral:rRNA from 1 species